rnacentral:rRNA from 1 species
AAUGAACGUUGGCGGCAUGGAUUAGGCAUGCAAGUCGAGCGAGAAGAGUUUUGAAGCUUGCUUUAGAACUCGGACAGCGGCGAAAGGGAGAGUAACGCGUAGUUAUGUGCCCUAGGGUCCGGAAUAGCCACGGGAAACUGUGGGUAAUGCCGGAUAAUAUCCCCGGAUCAAAGGUGUGAUUCCGCCCUAGGAGCAGACUGCGUCCUACUAGCUAGUUGGUAGGGUAAUGGCCUACCAAGGCAAAGAUGGGUACCGGGUGUGAGAGCAUGGCCCGGCUCACUGGGACUGAGACACUGCCCAGACACCUACGGGUGGCUGCAGUCGAGAAUCUUCGGCAAUGGGCGCAAGCCUGACCGAGCGACGCCGCGUGCGGGAUGAAGGCCUUCGGGUUGUAAACCGCUGUCAGAGGGGAGGAAAUGCGUGAGAGUUCUCUCUCACGUUUGACCUAUCCUCAGAGGAAGUACGGGCUAAGUUCGUGCCAGCAGCCGCCGUAAUAC